rnacentral:lncRNA from 1 species
UUGCGCUAAGACGGCUGUUUGCAUUCCUUGUGCGUGCGAUUUACUUUGCAUGGCGUGUAUACAUGUGUUUGGUAUGAAGUAUAUACAUACUGUUGCUGUUUCCAACAUUUUCACAGCUGCAGCAGCCUGUGAUAUUAACAGCAGUGACCAGAGUUGUGACUCCGCCUGCCAAACGGAUAACGAACUCAGCUGUUGCUGCGCAGCGGAAAAGGCAACUCUGCGGUGUCAGCUUCGGGCCGUCAAACAGCAGCUUGCACGGUGCCAAACAAUGCUCGCGAAGUUGAGGGUGCAGGCUGGCAGACAAAAAAUGCUGGAGCAGAGCCUUCGGAAGCUUACCGAUCGCGGGAGGCUUGUCCUAGAUCAAUGUGUGAUGAAAGGAAGCGCGAAGUCUGCUAAAGCUGUCCGCAAGCCUCCGCAUGGUUUAGUGUGCAUGAAAAGCACUAUGAUGAUUGGCUGUAUGACUGCCUUCUUUUGAAGAUCAAGUCGACUUCGGUCUACACAUUUCUUCAUGAGAAUGACUACCUGCCUUUACCAAAUGUGCGUACAUUGUACACCUACAUGAAGAACCUUAAAGCGGAUUUUGGGUUUGAUCCGGACUUAUUUUCCGUGCUAAGGGAAAAGCUGCUUGCUUGCCCCG